rnacentral:rRNA from 1 species
UACUUAGUGGCAGACGGGUGAGUAACAUGUGGGUAUCUACCCUUUGGCCUGGAAUAACACGAGGAAACUUGUGCUAAUACCGGAUAAGUCUUUACGGAGAAAGCUUUAUGCACCAUUGGAUGAGCCCGCACUUGAUUAGUUUGUUGGUAGGGUAAUGGCCUACCAAGACUAUGAUCAAUAGCUGAUUUGAGAGGAUGAUCAGCCACAUUGGGACUGAGACACGGCCCAAACUCCUACGGGAGGCAGCAGUGGGGAAUCUUGCACAAUGGAGGAAACUCUGAUGCAGCGAUGCCGCGUGAGUGAAGAAGGCCUUUGGGUUGUAAAGCUCUUUCGUCGGGGAAGAAAAUGACUGUACCCGAAUAAGAAGGUCCGGCUAACUUCGUGCCAGCAGCCGCGGUAAUACGAAGGGACCUAGCGUAGUUCGGAAUUACUGGGCUUAAAGAGUUCGUAGGUGGUUGAAAAAGUUGGUGGUGAAAUCCCAGAGCUUAACUCUGGAACUGCCAUCAAAACUUUUCAGCUAGAGUAUG